AAACGUCCGUUUACCGAGCUUGGCGUAACAUGUUGACAACAACAGUUGAUCGGUAGAAGUGACCUACUUCAAGGACGUUUGAAGGCCUUUUCAAAAUGGAAGUGCUUUGGUGAAAGACGUCGAUAACUUGUCAUUUUUGUUUGAAACAGCAUGCCAUCAACAUGAGUACACCUAAAGUGGCAUUCCUCUUCCAGCGAGGAUUUUCCAAAGCAGGUCUUCCAUUGCUUCGUCUCACCCAGGGAGAGAGUGAAGUGGCUAUGAGACGUUCCGAAGGCUGGAUAAUGAAAUCGGUCGUGGCACUGUCUCUGUUUGGACUAAGUUUCUCUGUAUUUAGCACACGUCAGCUUCGCGAAGACUCGUCUUCUCAAAAACACUUACCUUUCUCCAAAUCAUGAUACUUCUAUUAGAGACUUGUGGCCUCAUCUUCAUGUACUAUGUACAUGUUUGAUACCAGUGAUAAACAGUCAAAGAGUUUGCGCACACAAAUGUACAGAAUAGUUUUAUAAGUGAUCUUGCAUAUGAAAUCUCUUCUUUUCAAAAGAGAAUAAUUUUC